rnacentral:lncRNA from 1 species
GGGUAAUGAUGGUGAUGAAGAUGAUUGAUGAUGAGGAUGAUGGUGAGGAGAGGGAGGAUGAGGAUAAUGAUGGUGAUGAAGAUCAUGAGGAGGAAAGUGAUGAAGACGAUGAGGAUGAUGGUGCACUCACCCUCCUGGGGCCAGGUUGCACGCACAAGCUGGAGACUCCAACCUCACGGAGCUGCCCCUCCAGUGGAAAGAGGCAGGAGCCACACCACCCACAGGACGGGGAUGGAAUGUACAGCACCUGACAUGAAGACUGGGCUGUCACAUUUACACAUCAGGUAAGUCUAUCUGCUCGGGCUGAACGGUGUCCACCUAGAGAAAGCAGAAUCUUUUCUGUACUUCCACCCAAAGAGAGUGCCUUUCUCUAAGUUGCAAAAAGACUCUCUCUAAUACAGAGACCUGAAUGUUAGAAAGAGAUUUCUUUCUUUCUUUCUUUUUUUUUUUUUUUUGAUAGAGCAUUAAAUCCCUUCCAACUUGAAUAGCCUAUGAGUAGACAGCCGCAUGUUACAGAGAACACAGACUCUGAGGUUAGACAGGUAGGGUCUGGGGCCUGGUUCUGGAACUUAGGAGCUGCAUCGACUGAGGACUUGCCUAAACACCCUGAACCUCAAUUUCUUCAUCUGUAAAGAAGAAGAAUCCCUAUUGCUAUGGGAAAAAUUAUGUGCCUCCAAAAUUCAUAUGUUGAAGUCCUAAUCCCCAGGACCUCAGAAUAGGAGUCUAUUUAGAGAUAGGGUAUUUAUAGAGAUAACCAAAUUAAAUGGUAUUAUUAGAUUGAAUCCUACUUCAAUAUAACUGGCAUCCUUAUAAAAAGGGGAAGUUUGGGCACAGAGAGACACACACAGAGGGAAGGCAUUGUGAAGACAGGGAGAAGAUGCCACACAACUGGAGUGAUGCAGCCCCAAGCCAGGGCACACCCAGGGUCCCCGGUAAAUGCCAGAAGCUGGAGGCAGCCAGGGGGAUUCUGCCCUGGAGCCUUCGCAGAGGGCACGGCUCCGCCCACACUUAGAUUUCAGAGUUGUAGCCUCCAGAGCUUUAGGCAAACACAGUUUGGUUAUUAUAUGCCACACGAUUUGUG